UACGGGGGGGGCAAGCGUUGUUCGGAAUUACUGGGCGUAAAAGGCUCGUAGGCGGCCAACUAAGUCAUACGUGAAAUCCCUCGGCUUAACCGGGGAACUGCGUCUGAUACUGGAUGGCUUGAGUUCGGGAGAGGGAUGCGGAAUUCCAGGUGUAGCGGUGAAAUGCGUAGAUAUCUGGAGGAACACCGGUGGCGAAGGCGGCAUCCUGGACCGAUACUGACGCUGAGGAGCGAAAGCGUGGGGAGCGAUCCGG
rnacentral:rRNA from 1 species